rnacentral:rRNA from 1 species
GACGAACGCUGGCGGCGUGCCUAAUACAUGCAAGUUGAGCGAUGAAGAUUGGUGCUUGCACCAAUUUGAAGAGCAGCGAACGGGUGAGUAACGCGUGGGGAAUCUGCCUUUGAGCGGGGGACAACAUUUGGAAACGAAUGCUAAUACCGCAUAACAACUUUAAACAUAAGUUUUAAGUUUGAAAGAUGCAAUUGCAUCACUCAAAGAUGAUCCCGCGUUGUAUUAGCUAGUUGGUGAGGUAAAGGCUCACCAAGGCGAUGAUACAUAGCCGACCUGAGAGGGUGAUAGGCCACAUUGGGACUGAGACACGGCCCAAACUCCUACGGGAGGCAGCAGUAGGGAAUCUUCGGCAAUGGACGAAAGUCUGACCGAGCAACGCCGCGUGAGUGAAGAAGGUUUUCGGAUCGUAAAACUCUGUUGGUAGAGAAGAACGUUGGUGAGAGUGGAAAGCUCAUCAAGUGACGGUAACUACCCAGAAAGGGACGGCUAACUACGUGC